AAGAGGAUGGCGAGGAGCCCCGCAGAGAGGGUGCGGGCGCCGGCUACCUGAAGGAGCCUUUGUUCGGCCGGGCGCCGGGAGCGCAUUCUUUCACACCAGUAACGGCGGGAGAAGACGUUCAUUCAGUCCGCUUUCUUGGUGACGUAGUUGGGGCAUUCAUGUGUUUUUAACCUUGAAUAAUUUUUGUCUCUAAGCUCCAAACAAGCCUUAUCCUGUCCACAGGGGCGCAAAGCCCGGCCAUGGCCGGUAGCAAUCCACAGCAUAUCUAAGAAAAGCAAGCGUGGGCUCUCCGGGGAAUGGCAGGGUUGGUGGGAAUCCAACGCUCUUGCUGCCCUGCGCUGCACACCGGAGCUGGGAAUAGAAUCAGGGUUGGAUACAGAUGAGAAGGUGCAGUUCUGUCCCUUGUCCGUGGAAGCAAGGAGAUCUAUCAAGUCUGGUACAACUGAAGCUGUGUGCAGUUGGAAAAUUUGAAUGGACACAAUGAAGCCGAUCAAUCAGCAUAAACCACAGGAAGCGGCUGCAUCUCUUAGAUCCCAUCCCAGCUUCCAGGGUGGUAGCUCCAAAGUCUUCAUGUCCUACUGGGCCAGCGCCCUCCGUGAGAAACAUAUCAGUCCUUUCUUCUUUGCCUCCUGCUGUCCCCAACCCUACCACCAAGGAGCCAGCUUGAGAAACAUGGCCUGAUGCUAAAAUCAAAAGGAAUGGGAGCCAACUUCCCUGCGUAGACAGUGGAGGGCCCAUAUUUCUAUUCUGCCUGACCAUUGUGGACAGGAAUUACUCACUUACCUGAACACAACAGCGACAAUCUUUCUGAUUAAAAACAGAAAAGAAUCAGAAAAAGAAAUGAAAAAUAAAUCAGAAUUAUUUCCU